CCUACGGGAGGCUGCAGUCGAGAAUCAUUCACAAUGGGGGAAACCCUGAUGGUGCGACGCCGCGUGGGGGAAUGAAGGUCUUCGGAUUGUAAACCCCUGUCAUGUGGGAGCAAAUUCAAAAGAGCGUACCCCAAUGAGAAGAGCCGGCAAACUCUGUGCCAGCAACCCCGGUAAUACAGCGGGGUCAAUCGGUGAUCGGCAUCAAUGGGCGUAAAGCGUGCGGAGGCUGUUUCGUAAGUCGGGUGUGAAAGGCGCGGGCUCAACCCGCGGACAGCACAUGAAACUGGGAGACUAGAGUAAGGGAGAGGGAAGCGGAAUGCGCGGUGUAGCAGUGAAAUGCGUAGAUAUCGAGAGGAACACUGGUGGCGAAGGCGGGUUCCUGGAGAUUAACUGACGCUGAGGCACGAAGGCCAGGGGAGCGAAAGGGAUUAGAUACCCCGGUAGUC
rnacentral:rRNA from 1 species